rnacentral:rRNA from 1 species
UGAAGCCGGGCGACUCUGGCGGGACGUGCCAUCGACAAGAUGGAGGAAGGUGGGGAGUGACGUCAAGUCAUCAUGGCCCUUAUGUCCAGGGCGACACACGUGCUACAAUGGCCGGCACAGCGGGAAGCGAGGCAGUGAUGCCAAGCGGAUCCCUUAAAGCCGGUCUCAGUUCGGAUUGAAGUCUGCAACUCGACUUCAUGAAGCUGGAAUCGCUAGUAAUCGCAGAUCAGCCAAGCUGCGGUGAAUACGUUCCCGGGCCUU